rnacentral:lncRNA from 1 species
ACAACAACAACAACAACAACAACAACAACAAACCCAGUGUAUUCCCACCUAGUGGGGUCUGGGGGGUAAGAUGUACGCAGUCUAUAACUCUACCUCUGAAGAAGUAGAAAGGCUGUUUCCGAUAGACCCCCGGCUCAAGGCACGAGAUACCACACAAACACAUAGUAAAGCGCAGAAGCAGAUUACAUAACAUAAAUACGGCACCCAUAAGUAAUAUAAAACAGAGGAG